GCAUCCUGUGAGUGCAAGCAUCGCGAGAGUGGGAAACUGGCGGCAAGAUUCAACAUGGCGGCGCCCAGUUGCUGAGAGAACAGCAAAUAAUAUGCAAAACUAAAAGCUCAAAAUACCAAAUUUAAGACAUUCUGAUUCAGACUGCACUCUGCAUCCACCCGCCACCACCAACCCGGAACAACACAUCACCGCAGAGGAGGAUAUAACCGAACUCGAAGCAUUCAUGGACUGAUAUUAGGCCACAACCUGCAGACCAAGGUGGACCCGGAAACAGCCAACACAAACAAACGCCGACGGACUCUUCUACCGACACAGAUGCUCUCCACACCUCUGAGGCCGGGUCACGGUGGCAACAGGUGGAGCAGAGCAUUCCAGACGUCCCUCUCCCCAGCAACGCUUUCCUGCUCCUCCUGGGGGACCCCAAGGUGUUCCCAGGCCAGAUGAGAUAUGUGACCCCUCCAGCGCGUUCUGGGUCUGCCAGGAGGACGUGCCCGGAUCACCUCAAGAGGGAGGCAUCCUGAUCAGAUGCUCGAAUAAUCUCAACUGGCCCCUUACGACGCGAAGCUCCCUAAAGCACAUCUGUGGCUUGGAGUCGGAUUGGGUGGACACACAUUGACAUGGACCCCUACGCUGAGUCUCCCCCUACCCAACCGUCAGGACAUCCUCCCAGACCAGCCUUACUGACGACAUCCCUCUUCCACCUUCACCCCACUGUCCCACUCACAUUCAUUCAUUUGUCCUUAAC